rnacentral:rRNA from 1 species
GCAAGUCGAACGGCAGCAGCAGAAAGCUUGCUUUCUGGCUGGCGAGUGGCGGACGGGUGAGUAAUGCGUAGGAAUCUGCCUAGUAGUUAGGGAUAACUUGGGGAAACUCAAGCUAAUACCGAAUGCGACCUAUGGGUGAAAGGAGGGGAUCUUAGGACCUUCCGCUAUUAGAUGAGCCUACGUCAGAUUAGCUUGUUGGUGGGGUAAUGGCCUACCAAGGCGACGAUCUGUAGCUGGUCUGAGAGGAAGAUC